GAAUGGCUAAUAGAUGGUCUAGAUUGUAUGGAUUCAGUCGUUAAGCCCAUAACUAUCGUUCCAAGUUAAUGUUAUCGAGGUUGCACAAUUAGAAAUCCCAUUCCGACUGUCACUUUCAUAAUUUGGUAAGCGAUGCUCUGAUUGGUUGGAUGAAAGGUCGUUCUGACGUGACCCGUAGUGGGAUGUCCUCAGAUCUUGUUUAGCGAUAACGAGAACUAAGAUCUGAUUUUAAUGAGAUUGAGCCACAUAGGGAAAUCACUGUAGGGAAAACCAGAAAAGUGCAUCAAACUGACCUUUGGCAUGACUAGCGAAGUCAUGAAUCACUAAACUGCCCCACUACACCCUACUCUAAC